AGUCGAGCGGUAACAUUCCUAGCUUGCUAGGAGAUGACGAGCGGCGGACGGGUGAGUAAUGCUUGGGAAUAUGCCUUAUGGUGGGGGACAACAGUUGGAAACGACUGCUAAUACCGCAUAACGUCUACGGACCAAAGGGGGGGGCUCCUCUCGCCUAAAGAGUGGCCUAAGCGAGAUUAGCUUGUUGGUGAGGUAAAGGCUCACCAAGGCGACGAUCUCUAGCUGUUCUGAGAGGAAGAUCAGCCACACUGGGACUGAGACACGGCCCAGACUCCUACGGGAGGCAGCAGUGGGGAAUAUUGCACAAUGGGCGAAAGCCUGAUGCAGCCAUGCCGCGUGUGUGAAGAAGGCCUUCGGGUUGUAAAGCACUUUCAGUUGUGAGGAAAGGGGUGUAGUUAAUAGCUGCAUUCUGUGACGUUAACAACAGAAGAAGCACCGGCUAACUUCGUGCCAGCAGCCGCGGUAAUACGAGGGGUGCAAGCGUUAAUCGGAAUUACUGGGCGUAAAGCGUUCGUAGGCGGUCUAUUAAGCAAGAUGUGAAAGCCCCGGGCUCAACCUGGGAAUAGCAUUUAGAACUGGCAGGCUAGAGUCUUGGAGAGGGGAGUGGAAUUUCAGGUGUAGCGGUGAAAUGCGUAGAUAUCUGGAGGAACAUCAGUGGCGAAGGCGACUCCCUGGCCAAAGACUGACGCUCAUGUGCGAAAGUGUGGGUAGCGAACAGGAUUAGAUACCCUGGUAGUCCACACCGUAAACGAUGUCUACUAGCUGUUUGUGGAUUUAAUCCGUGAGUAGCGCAGCUAACGCGAUAAGUAGACCGCCUGGGGAGUACGGCCGCAAGGUUAAAACUCAAAUGAAUUGACGGGGGCCCGCACAAGCGGUGGAGCAUGUGGUUUAAUUCGAUACAACGCGAAGAACCUUACCUACUCUUGACAUACUAGAAACUUUUCAGAGAUGAAUUGGUGCCUUCGGGAAUCUAGAUACAGGUGCUGCAUGGCUGUCGUCAGGUGAGAUGUGGGUAGUCCCGCAACGAGCGCAACCCUGUCCUAGUGCCAGCCUAGUGGCACUCUAAGGAGACUGGCGGUGACAACCGAAAAGGUUGAUGACGUCAAGUCUCCUGGGCCUUACGGUGGGCUACACAGGCUACAUGGCAGUGACAUGGGUUAAUCCCCCAAAAAUGUUUGAUCGGGAAGGGUUCUGCGAACUCCACGCCAGAUCCAAUCACAAUUAAUCCUCACACAUACGCGGAGAAAAGAAUUCUCGCCGCUGUGAUA
rnacentral:rRNA from 1 species